AUCCGCGUGGUGCAGUGGUUAGCAUGGUGCUGUAAGUAUGCAUAGGUCGUGGGUUCAAUCCCCACCGUGGAUA